rnacentral:rRNA from 2 species
CCCAGGUCAGGCGGGACUACCCGCUGAGUUUAAGCAUAUCAAUAAGCGGAGGAAAAGAAACUAACAAGGAUUCCCCUAGUAACGGCGAGU